rnacentral:rRNA from 1 species
GAGUUUGAUCAUGGCUCAGGAUGAACGCUAGCGGCAGGCUUAACACAUGCAAGUCGAGGGGUAGUUACUUUCGGGUAAUGAGACCGGCGCACGGGUGCGUAACGCGUAUGCAAUCUACCUUUUACAGGGGAAUAGCCCAGAGAAAUUUGGAUUAAUGCCCCAUGGUAUUAUAGAGUGGCAUCACUUUAUAAUUAAAGUUCCAACGGUAAAAGAUGAGCAUGCGUCCCAUUAGUUAGUUGGUAAGGUAACGGCUUACCAAGACGAUGAUGGGUAGGGGUCCUGAGAGGGAGAUCCCCCACACUGGUACUGAGACACGGACCAGACUCCUACGGGAGGCAGCAGUGAGGAAUAUUGGACAAUGGGCGCAAGCCUGAUCCAGCCAUGCCGCGUGCAGGAAGGAGCAUCUAUGGUGUGUAAACUGCUUUUAUACAGGAAGAAACACUCCCUCGUGAG